rnacentral:rRNA from 1 species
UACGUAGGUGGCAAGCGUUGUCCGGAUUUACUGGGCGUAAAGAGCGCGCAGGCGGUCGUUCAAGUCGCGUGUGAAAGCCCCCGGCUCAACUGGGGAGGGUCACGCGAUACUGAUCGACUCGAAGGCAGGAGAGGGUAGUGGAAUUCCCGGUGUAGUGGUGAAAUGCGUAGAUAUCGGGAGGAACACCGGUGGCGAAGGCGGCACUCUGGGCCGGCACUGACGCUGAGGCGCGAAAGCGUGGGGAGCAAACAGG